rnacentral:rRNA from 1 species
AGAGUUUGAUCCUGGCUCAGAUUGAACGCUGGCGGCAUGCCUUACACAUGCAAGUCGAACGGUAACAGGUCUUCGGAUGCUGACGAGUGGCGAACGGGUGAGUAAUACAUCGGAACGUGCCCGAUCGUGGGGGAUAACGCAGCGAAAGCUGUGCUAAUACCGCAUACGAUCUACGGAUGAAAGCGGGGGAUCGCAAGACCUCGCGCGGACGGAGCGGCCGAUGGCAGAUUAGGUAGUUGGUGGGAUAAAAGCUUACCAAGCCGACGAUCCGUAGCUGGUCUGAGAGGACGACCAGCCACACUGGGACUGAGACACGGCCCAGACUCCUACGGGAGGCAGCAGUGGGGAAUUUUGGACAAUGGGCGCAAGCCUGAUCCAGCCAUGCCGCGUGCAGGAUGAAGGCCUUCGGGUUGUAAACUGCUUUUGUACGGAACGAAAAAGCUCUCUCUAAUACAGGGGGUGAAUGACGGUACCGUAAGAGUAAGCACCGGCUAACUACGUGCCAGCAGCCGCGGUAAUACGUAGGGUGCAAGCGUUAAUCGGAAUUACUGGGCGUAAAGCGUGCGCAGGCGGUUAUGUAAGACAGAGGUGAAAUCCCCGGGCUCAACCUGGGAACUGCCUUUGUGACUGCAUAGCUGGAGUGCGGCAGAGGGGGAUGGAAUUCCGCGUGUAGCAGUGAAAUGCGUAGAUAUGCGGAGGAACACCGAUGGCGAAGGCAAUCCCCUGGGCCUGCACUGACGCUCAUGCACGAAAGCGUGGGGAGCAAACAGGAUUAGAUACCCCGGUAGU